UUUGUGAUGUGUAUGCCCUUUUACCACUUUGGGCUGGGGGUGACAAAUGCGUUACUAUUUAAGGGUAGGCUAAAUUGAUGUUUUUAUGAUUUGGAUAUUUUCUUAAGAUAAUUUUUACAAUUUGUAACGGAAACUAGGGAUUCUAAAUAGUUUUACCCUGACAAGUAUAUAUGCAUAUUUUGAUUCAUCUUGUGUUUUGCAAAUUUGAAAAUUCCUCACUUUUUGUCAGUCCUUAUUCUAGUAUCUUUGGCCGUAAGAAUCAAAUGCAAUUUGUGAAAUUAGUUACCACUUAAAGUUAGAAAUCCUGUUCAAGACGUUACCUUGCAAGAGAAUGCCCAAACAAGGCAUUAGGAGAGGUAUGGGGCAAAAAAAUUAGGAAACUUGACAAAUCACACCGUUUCUGAACCAAAAUUCGGAUUUAUGUUUUUCUGAGUCAUGAAUUCCAUAGUUCCAAAGACAUUAGGACUUUGGAUUUCCAUUCGCCUAAACCAAUAACAACAGUGUUUAUUGAUUUGCACAGUAUCUAGGCGCAUAGAUAUUCCUCAGACUGUUUGGUUAAUGAUUGUCUUCUAUAUGUUUGGAAUCACUCCUUUGUAGACAUUAGUGGAGGUUGAGGUAUUUACUUCAUGAUCUGCUAUGAUACAAAAGGAACUUUGUAUUGAAAUUCUGGCUGAUUACCUUAGGGAGUUAUUAAUUUUAUGUUAACAGGUUGAAUUUUCAUAUGGAGUAAUCCCCUAUGUAGGACUCUAGGCUAAACGGAGCUUUGAGGCUUUGUGAUGCAUUCCUAUGUGAACACAUCCCUGGCGAAAGGCUUUUAAAAGAUACACCCCAAAAGGAAGAGCCUUUAGAGUUGAAAGGAUGUCAGAUGUCAUCAGUCACACUUUCCCAUUUAACAGAUGAGGAACUAAGUCCUGAUAUCCCAUGAUGUUUUUUGUUUUACUUUGUUUUUGGCUAUUUCCUUUUUCUAAAAAUAGCCCUCUCUGGGGAAUGCUGAGAUCUUCAUUCUUUAUUAGUAUCAAUUUAUAAUUAUCUACAUCUGUAAGCAGUUAUUCGAAAGUCUCCAGAUCUUAUUCUAUCCUGGCACCCAUGGUGACUAAAAAAAUCAAAGACGUUAAAUCUUUGAAAGCAGCCUUCAAACCACAUACUCCAGCCAACUUACCUUAUAUGUCGGGGAGUUAUGGAGCAAAUACAUUAAUUAACUUGACAGAAGUUGCACACUUUCUGUACUUCUGAACCAAAAUUUGGAUGCAUGUUUUUCUUUAUCAUGAGUCACACCUGAUUAGGAUUUCCUUAGCUUUUGUUGGGGUCAGACAGGAUUGUGACCAAAGGCAAGAUUUCUCUGUCAUCUCUUUUGACAGAAUUUCCACAAUCAUGGAUUUUGUAAUAGUCCUGGACAUUCAUCAGAAAGUAACCUGUAGUGGGGCUGCCUACAUAGGAUUCUUCCUUUGAAAAGCCUUAAACAUUUUUCUAAUGGUUGGUCUCUCUUAACUAACAAUAAAAAACAGCAACAAUGCAGCUGGGCACAGUGGCUUAUGCCUGUAAUCCCAGCACUUUGGGAGGCCCAGGCAGGUGGAUCAACUGAGGUCAGGAGUUUAAGACCAGCCUGGCCAACAUGUGAAACCCUGUCUCUACGAAAAAUACAAAAAUUAGCCGGAUGUUGUGUUGCACACCCGUAGUCCCACCUACUGGGGAGGCUGAGGCAGGAGAAUUGCUUAAACCCAGGAGGCAGAGCUUGCAUUGAGCUGAAAUCGUACCACAGCACUCCAGCCUGGGCAACAGAGUGAGACUCCAUAUCCAAAAAAAAAAAAAAAAAAACAAAAACAAACAAACAAACAAAAAAACCAGCAACAGGGAUAGUCAGCAUAACUAAUUUAACCAGCACAUCCAUUUCGUAAAAGACAUCACACAUUGUCAUUUGUAAGCCUGGGACUUUAACUAUUUCUCAACUUUUUUAGCUGAAUAAUUUUUCUUUUUAAAACAAAACUGAAAUCUGUUGUAUCCAUUUUAGAAUUUAUCUCAGUAGUUUGUAUAUUCAUAUAUAUGUGGUGAGUUUAAGAAGACGUAUUUAGAACAUUUUUAUCUUGUUAGCAAUUUGACAUAGAAAAAUGAAACAUUAAUGUUUUUAUUGUGAGUCAUGUCACUGGCACAGUUUUCCUCUAGUAUCAUGUGUGGUGUUACCUUCUAUGUAAAUUUGCCAAUGAAUAAAUGUUUAGUAAACAAACAUUUUGUAUUUCAUUGUUUCACUCCUCUACAAG
rnacentral:lncRNA from 1 species